GUGGGGAAUUUUGGACAAUGGGCGCAAGCCUGAUCCAGCAAUGCCGCGUGCAGGAAGAAGGCCUUCGGGUUGUAAACUGCUUUUGUACGGAACGAAACGGUCCUGGCUAAUAUCCGGGGCUAAUGACGGUACCGUAAGAAUAAGCACCGGCUAACUACGUGCCAGCAGCCGCGGUAAUACGUAGGGUGCGAGCGUUAAUCGGAAUUACUGGGCGUAAAGCGUGCGCAGGCGGUUUUGUAAGAUCGAUGUGAAAUCCCCGGGCUCAACCUGGGAACUGCAUUGGUGACUGCAAGGCUGGAGUGCGGCAGAGGGGGAUGGAAUUCCGCGUGUAGCAGUGAAAUGCGUAGAUAUGCGGAGGAACACCGAUGGCGAAGGCAAUCCCCUGGGCCUGCACUGACGCUCAUGCACGAAAGCGUGGGGAGCAAACAGGAUUAGAUACCCUAGUAGUCC
rnacentral:rRNA from 1 species